ACGGCGGUCAUAGCGUGGGGGAAACGCCCGGUUCCAUUCCGAACCCGGAAGCUAAGGCCCACAGCGCCGAUGGUACUGCAACCGGGAGGUUGUGGGAGAGUAGGUCGCCGCCGGA
rnacentral:rRNA from 1 species